rnacentral:lncRNA from 1 species
CCAGCCAGAAGCAACAUGUAGAUCUAAUGACCUUCUCCAGGAGUCGAGGACUCACUACCUCGCUGAAUUCUCAGAGUCAAAAUGCGUCUCUACCUGCUGGUCCCAGAACAGUCCCCUGCUGCUGCAUUGAAUGAAUCUCAUCUCACUUCCUCGAGUCAGCCCUCCCUGUAUUUGAUGAUCACAAACCUUAUCCUUACGUUGCCAGCAGUAACAUUCUGCAUCCCUCACCCACUCCACUGUGUCCUUUUCCUCCCACUGAUCUUCACUCUGCCUUUUCUAGGGGAACUCUGAACAGUAUUUCUGAGAAGGGUGCUGGCAUCUCUUCAUCCCUAGAGUGAUGCUGCCAUCUCCGUCUUGAAUGUCUCUGCUGACAUGGCCUGCUAAACUUGAACUCAUAGGCGGGACAAUCGCUUGAGCCCAGGAGUUCAAAAC